rnacentral:rRNA from 1 species
AAUCAACGCUGGCGGCGUGCCUCAGACAUGCAAGUCGAACGCGAAAGUCCCCUUCGGGGACGAAGUAGAGUGGCGCACGGGUGAGUAACACGUAGGUAAUCUACCUUUGGAUGGGGAAGUAACAAUCGGAAACGGUUAGCUAAUACCGCAUAAUGCAGCGGCACCUAAUGGUGACAGUUGUUAAAGCGGGGGAGUCGAAAGACCUCGCGUCUAAAGAGGAGCCUGCGGCGGAUUAGCUAGUUGGUAGGGUAACGGCCUACCAAGGCGACGAUCCGUAACCGGCCUGAGAGGGCGGUCGGUCACACUGACACUGACAUACGGGUCAGACUCCUACGGGAGGCAGCAGUCGGGAAUUUUGGGCAAUGGGCGAAAGCCUGACCCAGCAACGCCGCGUGAAGGAUGAAAUCCCUC